rnacentral:sRNA from 1 species
AGACCACACAAAAAUACUAGUACUCUUAACAAGUGCCACUAUGAACUCUGAUUGUGCCUUAUUAUCUGCCUGCCUGCCGGCCGUGUUGAAGCUAUACUAAUUUCCUAAUUCAGGAAUUCGACUAAAUCAUGCCCUCCAAGUGGCGUUGGACUACAAAAGCAACAGCUGCAGAAACUCCGGCUGUCGCUAUCCCAGCCAUUCCUUGCACAAUCUACUGCGUUGUCUGGUAUAACCGGCUCACCACGCGCC